rnacentral:rRNA from 1 species
UACGUAGGGUGCGAGCGUUAAUCGGAAUUACUGGGCGUAAAGCGUGCGCAGGCGGUUUGAUAAGCCAGAUGUGAAAUCCCCGGGCUUAACCUGGGAACUGCGUUUGGAACUGUCAGGCUAGAGUGUAGCAGAGGGGGGUAGAAUUCCACGUGUAGCAGUGAAAUGCGUAGAGAUGUGGAGGAAUACCGAUGGCGAAGGCAGCCCCCUGGGCUAACACUGACGCUCAUGCACGAAAGCGUGGGGAGCAAACAGG